GACGUAGGGGGCAAGCGUUGUUCGGAAUUAUUGGGCGUAAAGCGCUCGUAGGCGGGACAGGAAGUUCGUGUUGAAAGACCUCGGCUCAACUGAGGGACCGGCUCGAAUACUCUUGUUCUUGAGGCAAUCAGAGGGUGAUGGAAUUCCCGGUGUAGCGGUGAAAUGCGUAGAUAUCGGGAGGAACCCCAGGGGCGAAGGCGAUCACCCGGGGUUGGUCUGACGCUGAGGAGCGAAAGCUAGGGGAGCAAACGGG
rnacentral:rRNA from 1 species